rnacentral:rRNA from 1 species
UACGAAGGGGGCUAGCGUUGUUCGGAAUUACUGGGCGUAAAGCGCACGUAGGCGGACUUUUAAGUCAGGUGUGAAAUCCCGGGGCUCAACCUCGGAACUGCAUUUGAAACUGGGAGUCUUGAGACCAGGAGAGGUUAGCGGAAUAUCGAGUGUAGAGGUGAAAUUCGUAGAUAUUCGGUGGAACACCAGUGGCGAAGGCGGCUAACUGGACUGGUACUGACGCUGAGGUGCGAAAGUGUGGGGAGCAAACAGG